rnacentral:sRNA from 1 species
GCUGGGCCUGGUGGCACAUGCCUGUAAUCCAAGUAACUUAGGAGGCUGAGACAGGAGGAUUGCAAAUGCAAAGCCAGCCUUAGCAACUUAGUGAGGCCCUAAGCAACUUGGCAAAACCCUGUCUCUA